rnacentral:rRNA from 1 species
UCUAUAUCAUCCUGAAUGCAUCUGAUCUCAGAAGAUAAGCAGGGUCAGCUCUGGUUAGUAGUUGGAUGGGAGAAAGAGGCCAAACAUAUUAUUGGAAGAA